rnacentral:lncRNA from 1 species
ACGUCAGGACCCCGCCACCCCACUCUGCCCCUCCACCCGAGGCUGCCUUAUCCUUUUGCUUUCUCUCUUAAAUCUGCUGCCCGUUACUGCUAUUCUACCCUUUGGUAGGUGUCAACAGAUGUUCACACUUUCCUUUCUUUCUGAUGGUGGUCAGGAAACCUAGCACUCCACCUAAGGCGAAGAAGCCGGGCGUUUGUCUGUUGUGAGUGAGUGACAAGGGCGGAGGAGGCGUGCCAGGCUGGCUGCAGUACCAUUCCCUGAGUCUGGCACUGCCUGAAGGGAGCCCUGCCGGUCACAUCAGACGUUCCUAAGGGGCCUGGAGUGAAAGGUGCUUGCAGGGAGCAAGUGAAAGUGGCGCCCCCACCCAGUCUGCCCAUUCCACCUCUCUUUAUACUGAUGAGAGAAGCCAAAGGGAGGCAACAAGGAAAAGAAGAGAAACUGGAAGCUGGGAUGAUUGACAGACUAGAAUGACAGGCUGCUGAAACUGAAUGAAACCCCAGAAGUUAUCAAUUCAUCCUUCACUUUUUGAGUUUUUAUUGAAGUUUGAAUGGGGAGGCACUGGCCUCGGAGCUCCUUGCUGCUGACAUCAGUUGUGCCCUUGUAGGAGACGUCCUGGUCCUGUCUGCCUCAGAGGCUUCCAUCUGCGGAUUUCCUGAGGUCGUCCCCUUACUCCUCUGCUGCAGUCUCUCUCAACAUUUCAACUGUCUGCUCCAGAAAGUUACUCUGUCACUAAGUAAAAUAAAUACAAACAAAAUAAGCAAUAA